AAAAAAAAAAAAAAAAAAAAAAAAAAAAAAAAAAAAGAAAGAAUUUAUUUUAAAAUAAUAUUUACCUUACGCUUCUGUUCUGGUAUUUAAGUUUAAAAUAUACACUAGAUGGCAGCACAUAACCCUUCAAUGCCAUUUGCACCUGGCAUCUGCUGUGGAGAGAAAGAAAUAAAAAAGAUUGAUUUAAACAGCGUUAGGCAUUUGAGAAAAGAACAGGAAGAUAUGCGUUCAAUAUUCCAUCCGUAUUUGAUAAAUCAAAAGAUCCUUUAAUGAUGCUCAAGAUCUUAAAAUGAAGAUCAUUCGAUUUAUCAGACCCUGGGCUGGUAUAUCAAUGAAAGUCAUCAGUGAAAAAAUGCGAACUCAGAGCCGCUGUGACUAAGGAGGCUAAGUGGAUAGAUUUGCCUCUCAAUGAGAUGAUUCAGGUUCGAAUCCCAGUGGUGGCUGGUUGGUACGAAUUCUGCUUCCUUCUCCUACCGACCACAGUGUGACGUAAAAUAUCGUCUUUGCUCGACGGAUCAUGAGACAAAAUCCCCUUGCCGUCGGGCUGACCUUGGUUUUUGUGGUAUACCUCUCCAUGUAAAGCAAAUGCUGGUUAGUUUUAUUAAAAUAUUCUGAAC